UACGUAGGGGGCGAGCGUUGUCCGGAAUGAUUGGGCGUAAAGGGCGCGUAGGCGGCCCGGUAAGUCUGGAGUGAAAGUCAUGCUUUUAAGGUGGGAAUUGCUUUAGAUACUGUCGGGCUUGAGUGCAGGAGAGGUAAGUGGAAUUCCCAGUGUAGCGGUGAAAUGCGUAGAGAUUGGGAGGAACACCAGUGGCGAAGGCGACUUACUGAACUGUAACUGACGCUGAGGCGCGAAAGUGUGGGGAGCAAACAGG
rnacentral:rRNA from 1 species